rnacentral:rRNA from 1 species
UACGUAGGGACCGAGCGUUGUCCGGAAUCAUUGGGCGUAAAGAGCGUGUAGGCGGCCACUUAAGUCCUGCGUGAAAUCUUGCGGCUCAACCGCAAGCGGUCGUGGGAAACUGGGUGGCUAGAGUGCGGGAGAGGAGAGUGGAAUUCCUGGUGUAGCGGUGGAAUGCGCAGAUAUCAGGAAGAACACCCGUGGCGAAGGCGCUCUCUGGAACGCAACUGACGCUGAGACGCGAAAGCGUGGGAGCAACAGG